rnacentral:lncRNA from 1 species
UGAGAAUGGAAAUAAAAAAUGUGUCAAAGAAACAACAGCCUAACCAAAGAGCACAGCCGAAGGCCACCAAUGAGUCUUCAAAACAACGAGAAAAUCCCGCAACCAGAGGCGGGCUUCAGUUGGUCUCUAAAUAAAAAUAUAUACUAGUUAUGUGAAAAUGGACGUCACACUUAACUUAGAUAAAAAAAAAACAUAAAAAACUAACAAAGAUCAGAG